AAUGAACGCUGGCGGCGUGGAUUAGGCAUGCAAGUCGAACGCGAAAGUUCCCUUCGGGGAGCGAGUAGAGUGGCGAAAGGGUGAGUAAUGCUUGGAUGACCUGGCCCUCGAGACGGGGACAACAGUUCGAAAGGACUGCUAAUACCCGAUAGUCCGGUUUAGAUGCGUCUAGAUCGGUAAAUGGUGCUUCCGCUCGAGGAGGGGUUCAAGUCCUAUCAGCUUGUUGGUGAGGUAACGGCUCACCCAAGGCGAUGACGGGUAGCCGGACUGAGAGGUUGGCCGGGCCACAUGGGAACUGAGACACUGUCCUGACUCCUACGGGAGGCUGGCAGUCGAGAAUCGUUC
rnacentral:rRNA from 1 species